GAUUGCAGUCUGCAACUCGACUGCAUGAAGUCGGAAUCGCUAGUAAUCNCGGAUCAGCAUGCCGCGGUGAAUACGUUCCCGGGCCUUGUACACACCGCCCGUCACACCAUGAGAGUCGGGAACACCCGAAGUCCGUAGCCUAACCGGAAGGGGGCGCGGCCGAAGGUGGGUUCGAUAAUUGGGGUGAAGUCGUAACAAGGUAGC
rnacentral:rRNA from 1 species